rnacentral:rRNA from 1 species
GACGUAGGGCGCGAGCGUUGUCCGGAUUUAUUGGGCGUAAAGAGCUCGUAGGCGGUUUGUUGCGUCGGCUGUGAAAUCCCGAGGCUCAACCUCGGGUCUGCAGUCGAUACGAGCAAACUAGAGUGUUGCAGGGGAGACUGGAAUUCCUGGUGUAGCGGUGAAAUGCGCAGAUAUCAGGAGGAACACCGGUGGCGAAGGCGGGUCUCUGGGCAACAACUGACGCUGGAGGAGCGAAAGCGUGGGGAGCGAACAGG